UGGGGAAUAUUGCACAAUGGGGGAAACCCUGAUGCAGCAACGCCGCGUGAGUGAAGAAGUAUUUCGGUAUGUAAAGCUCUAUCAGCAGGGAAGAGAAUGACGGUACCUGACCUAAGAAGCCCCGGCUAACUACGUGCC
rnacentral:rRNA from 1 species